rnacentral:lncRNA from 1 species
CGCUCGUCUAUCUGCCAGCCUGUGUCAGCAGAAUUAUAAACCUGUCAGUGACACAGUAUUUUAGUAGUGACCUAUGUUGGCUGUAAAAACAAAUGUAAAUGUUCAGACAAUUACUUCUACAGAAUGAAAAUAGUUUCUAACAAAUAAUACUGUCAAAUAAAGUAGUGACACUACUCAUCCUUAAAAUAAUGAAUUUACAUAGCUGCUUUGAAUCAUAUAAAGGCUUCUGAAAGGCUUUAUUUCAUCUACUCCCUCAAGAAAACUGCAGGUAACUUCAGAUCUGUCUAGAAUAUGGUUAUACAGACAAGCAUGAAACAACUUCUAGAGAAGUUUUACAAGGUCCUGCUGAACUUCAAUCAUCACCGCAAAGUUCCCCUACUCAAAAAUUGUCUCUCCUAGCCCACAGAUGUUAACAGACUGGAAACUGCCAUGUCAACAUGUAGGUGAGGUAAUUUCCUUCACAGGAGGAGUUCAACACAAUGUAAUACUGGGGAAAGGGGUUCUAUACACACCAAGAGUGAAGAUUAUUUCAGGAACUAUUUACUAUUUCUUAAGCCCUUACAAUACAUGUUGCUUAUAUUAUCAUCAAAUAAAUAGUAGAUUUAUUAUUCAAUUUAUAAUUAAAUAAAAAGUAGAAGAGAUUGCAAGAGGUUAUCUGGUUUAUUUUCUUGCCCCAAUGUUUUAUAGAAUUAAGGUAUUUUGCUCAGGGAGAUAGGAGGACAGUGAGCAUCAAUUAGUGCCAAAGUCUUUAAAUUAACUACAAAAUUAAUAACAGCAUAUUAAAACUAUAAAACAACACUUGUAAUAUGUGCUCAUUUUAUAGAUAAGCUAAAUUAGCGUAACCAUUGCAAAUUAGCUCUAUUUCAGGAGUUACAGAGACAAACAAAUCCAGUCUCCUUUGGUCUCUGUAUGCACUAGGAUUAUGAAGGAUUUGGUUCAUAAUAGCCAGACUAAUUAUACUUACACACUUAGGGCAUUCUUUCAUAUGAGCUCUAGUUUACAUUAAAG